UGAGGAAGGCUUUGAGGCCUUCCAUGUUGUCCUCAAGCCUAGUGAUCUCGCUAGAGACGCCAAGCAGCAUGGACACCUCAUCUCGUGCCAUGUCCGCGGUAAGCUUCUUCACGUAUGGUGCGAAAGCAUCCAGGAUGGCCGCCAUGUAUGGCUCAAGCCUAGCUACCUACCUGCUAGUAGUUAAAUCAUACAUAUAUAAGCACAUAUUUGUAUCAUUAUAUCCCUAUAUCUAGAGAUAGCAUAACUUGAUAUAAAAACUAACUAUAUAUUGCUAUGCAGUCCUUCAUGGAGAAAACAUCGCGGAAGGGAAUUGCUCACCUCAACUUAUUAUUGCAGGGCAGAUUGUGGACCGAAAGAGAGUGCAGCAGCAGAAUGUGUGAGGCGAUGAUCCAAGCCUAGCAGGAAGUGACUCUCCAGUCUCCAUGUAUCGCUCGACGACGUCGCCAGUAGCCAUCGCUACUCAUGCCGGUGUCCCGUUGAUCUGGAUCGGUACUCCUCCCCUCCGUUUGUCUCUAUGUGCUCUGCGUCGUGGACUGCAGCGCCGUCGUGCCAAAGUCAUUAUUGAGGACGAAGACGAUGUCAUGCCACCGGCGCUGAGGGAGGCGCUGGCCCUCAACCUGCUGCAUGCGCCACCGGUGGCUAGCUUAGAGGAGGUCCGCCGCCACGACACCUGCCGGGGGAGGCAUCAUGUAUAAGAUGUUGGGUGUGCGUGCACGAAGAAAGCUGGAAUAUAUGGUGGUUACAAAAACCAUAUAUAUACCCAUCUACUCCUCAUCUAAUUCUAAGUCUUAAGUCACAAUCUCCAUUUGAUUAAGUCGUUCGGGAAGUGAGUUUUGUCUAUUUGGCAUACUAAUCGAUAGACGCCACCUUCCUAAUGUUCAGUGAACCCCAAUCAAAUUGCAUUGUAAUAAAAUUGCACAUAUAACUAAUUCCGUGCACAAGUGGG
rnacentral:lncRNA from 1 species